UCUUGUAGGAUAGACAAAUCGAAAGUGCCA
rnacentral:piRNA from 1 species